AUGGCAGGAAAUAUAAACAGUGAUGAAGCACGUGUCCGGUCCCAGGUGCAGCUGGUGGAGUCCGGAGGGGAUGUGAAAAAGCCCGGAGACUCUCUCCGCCUCUCCUGCAAAGUCUGCGGGUUCACCUUCAGCAGCUACGCCUCCGGCUUCACCUUCGGUGACUACUGGAUGAGCUGGGUCCGCCAGGCUCCCGGGAAGGGCCUGGAAUGGGUCGCAAGUAUAAGCUAUUGGGCAGGCAGUGCUAUACAUUACGCCAACGCGGUCAAAGGCCGAUUCACCAUCUCCAGAGACAACUCCAACAACCUGCUGUAUCUGCAAAUGACCGGCCUGAAGCCCGAGGACACCGCCCGCUAUUACUGUGCGAGAGACACAGUGAGGGGAAGCCGGGCUGAGCUCUGA